UACGUAGGGCGCAAGCGUUGUCCGGAAUUAUUGGGCGUAAAGAGCUCGUAGGCGGUUUGUCGCGUCUGCUGUGAAAUCCUCAGGCUCAACUUGGGGCGUGCAGUGGGUACGGGCAGACUAGAGUGCGGUAGGGGAGACUGGAAUUCCUGGUGUAGCGGUGGAAUGCGCAGAUAUCAGGAGGAACACCGAUGGCGAAGGCAGGUCUCUGGGCCGUUACUGACGCUGGAGGAAGCGGAAAGCAUGGGGAGCGAACAGG
rnacentral:rRNA from 1 species